UAAUGUCCAAGAUCAGCACAGCUAGAAAAGAAUAACAGGUCUUGCUCGUGUGACGGACACUGUGCAUCCCCUCCAAUAGCCAGUCUUGCCCC
rnacentral:lncRNA from 1 species